GCGCCAAUAGCUCAACUGGCAGAGCAGCUGACUCUUAAUCAGCGGGUUCGGGGUUCGAGUCCCUGUUGGCGCA
rfam:Dietzia timorensis strain ID05-A0528, complete genome.